UACGUAGGCAGCGAGCGUUGUUCGGAAUUACUGGGCGUAAAGAGUGUGUAGGCGGUGCUCCCAGUCUGUUGUGAAAUCUCCCGGCUUAACUGGGAGGGUGCAGCGGAAACUAGAGUGCUAGAGGGUGGGAGAGGUAAGCGGAAUUCCUGGUGUAGCGGUGAAAUGCGUAGAUAUCAGGAGGAACACCUGUGGCGAAGGCGAGUCUCUGGACAUUUCCUGACGCUGAGGCACGAAAGCCAGGGGAGCAAACGGG
rnacentral:rRNA from 1 species